rnacentral:rRNA from 1 species
GACGAACGCUGGCGGCGUGCUUAACACAUGCAAGUCGAACGGAAAGGCCCCUUUGGGGGUACUCGAGUGGCGAACGGGUGAGUAACACGUGAGUAACCUGCCCUUGACUUCGGGAUAACUUCAGGAAACUGGGGCUAAUACCGGAUAGGAAUCCUUGCUGCAUGGUGGGGGUUGGAAAGCUUCGGCGGUUUUGGAUGGACUCGCGGCUUAUCAGCUUGUUGGUGGGGUAGUGGCUUACCAAGGCUUUGACGGGUAGCCGGCCUGAGAGGGCGACCGGCCACAUUGGGAAGGAGAUACGGCCCAGACUCCUACGGGAGGCAGAAGUGAGGAAUAAUGAACAAUGGGCGGAAGCCUGAAGCAGCAAGGCAGCGUGCGGGAUGACGGCCUUCGGGUUGUAAACCGCUUUCAGCAGGGGAGAAGCUAUUGUGACGGUACCUGCAGAAGAAGCACCGGCUAACUACGUG